GACGAACGCUGGCGGCGUGCUUAACACAUGCAAGUCGAACGAAGAGCGAUGGAAGCUUGCUUCUAUCAAUCUUAGUGGCGAACGGGUGAGUAACGCGUAAUCAACCUGCCCUUCAGAGGGGGACAACAGUUGGAAACGACUGCUAAUACCGCAUACGAUCUAAUCUCGGCAUCGAGGAUAGAUGAAAGGUGGCCUCUACAUGUAAGCUAUCACUGAAGGAGGGGAUUGUGUCUGAUUAGCUAGGUGGAGGGGUAACGGCGCACCAAGGCGAUGAUCAGGAGUCGGUCUGAUAGGAUGAGUGGCCACAUUGGGAGUGAGACACGGCCCAGACGCCUACGGGAGGCAGCAGGGGGGAAUCGUCCGCAAUGGACGAAAGUCUGACGGAGCAACGCCGCGGGAGUGAUGACGGCCGUCGGGUUGGAAAGCUCUGUUAAUCGGGACGAAAGGCCUUCUUGCGAAUAGGGAGAAGGAUUGACGGUACCGGAAGAGAAAGCCACGGCUAACUACGUG
rnacentral:rRNA from 1 species